UGCAGACCUGCAAUUAUUGUCACAGGGAGAAGAAACAAGAGUGGGAUUGAUGUGGCCCCGGGAAAGUGCCGAGUGCAGCAGAGUUGAGGAGGUGUGAUUUAAAGUCAUGCAGGCAGGCCUCAGGGUGCCAGCCAGGAAGAGGAUAAAUCUCUCAGUAGCCAGGUGAGGAAACUGUAGCAGACUGACUGACUUCCCAGCCGUCAUUAUCAAGUCCCAAGGAUUGUGAGGGUGAUCUCCACCCACAACUGCUUCCUUGUGGGAGUCUGCAGGGGGCACUAGAGAGAUGAAUGAGUGACAGGGUCUUCUUUGACCUUGGCAAGCUGAUACUCUACUUGUGACAAGGACACAGGAAGAGUCAGUCUGCAUUACACAGGAAGAUCAUGACAGAGAUGGGCAUCAAGAACAGCGUGUCCUGCAGCCAGAGAGAGAGAGAGUGCGCGCUACUGGGCAGCCAGUUAUAAAACAGAAAGAAGACCAGAAUAAUAAAGAGAAACAAAAGAAACGGGCUUCCCACUACCCUGUGAGAUUGACGAGCUACAAGAUAUUGAACAGCCAUCUCGGCAGCAGAGCUGGUUCCUACACAAACAGGACCCACGUAAAAGCUGGAUGUGAGUACCAGAAAACUCUGAAGCGUCUCAUGCGAUAACAAAGAUAUGUUGUCUAGAAAAACGUGACCGUUAAGGGAGAAGGAAGAUGUCAUGACUCAAUGCAAGAGCAUAGUACGAUCGAGAGGCAGUUUCUUUCCACUUCUUGACCAUCAUGCAAAACACUGGGAUAAAAUGUGAAGAAAGUACAUCUCUGACUCCAUGGGACAAGAUUUUCACUCAAACAGAGCUGAGAAAUGAAGGCCUCCUGGAUACUUGGGAACAAGGGUCAGAAAGAAUGCAGAGAGGAUAGAAGGCAAGGCAUCCAGGGCCUAUUUCUGGAGGUGCCCUGGCUCUGAUAAUGAAGGAGCCAAGGAGGAUCCGCUCUACUUUCGUUCUUCCUGCUGAGAACCACAGACUGGGAGCCCACUUGGCCCCAUGAGGCAGCACAAUGCAGGGGAGAUGAACUUGAGUCACCGUGACAACUGUCCCUGAGGUGGGAAAUAUCAGCUGUAUACUCAUGAUGUCCUGAAUCAGAGGCGUGGAUACCUUACAGCCUGGACACACCUGCACCUAUGUGUUCAGAAGCUUGAAAGCUUCCUGCAUUGAUGAAGUUUGGAUGGACUGCUCAGACGCACUGACCCAGGAAGGAGAGGAGCUGGCUGUGGCAGGCGCUGGAG
rnacentral:lncRNA from 1 species